rnacentral:rRNA from 1 species
UACGUAGGGGGCAAGCGUUAUCCGGAUUUACUGGGUGUAAAGGGAGCGCAGACGGAACUGCAAGUCUGAUGUGAAAGCCCGGGGCUCAACCGCGGGACUGCAUCGGAUAUUGUAGAUCUGGAGUGCCGGAGGGGCAAGCGGAAUUCCUGGUGUAGCGGUGAAAUGCGUAGAUAUCAGGAGGAACACCGGCGGCGAAGGCGGCUUGCUGGACGGCAACUGAUGUUGAGGCUCGAAAGCGUGGGGAGCAAACAGGAUUAGAUA